UGUUUGAUUUUCUCUUACAGGGACUGGUUCAGCCCAGCAAGUCCAAGGUUCCUAAGGCCUCAAGAUGCAGUGCCUGCAUAGAUAAUUAGUGUUUUCCCCACAGAGUGGCACAUUUAAACUGUGACACAUUUCAGUGUUCCAUUUGAUGCUAAUGUUUUCUUCAGUUUUUCUCUUGAUGCAGUUCAUUAACAUGAACAUGCUUUUCUCAUAAAAAAUGUAAGCAGUUGUUUUCUGUAUUAUUCAUAUAAUUACCACUCAGUCAUUUUUAUAAGAUUGUUUCUUUUAUGGCUACAGUUUAUAUAUACACACACACACACACACACACACACAUAUAUAUAUGUAGAUAUGAUGAAAAAUACCUACAUAUAUAUGUGUGUGUGUGUGUGUGUGUAUACACACACACACACACACACACGUAUGUACAAUUUCAUUGUCAGAAAAUAUAGUCAAAUAAAAAUUAUGUAGCAAAAAACAUUGAAAUAUUUCUACAGGAAAAGCCCAGAUCACAGAAUUCUGAGGUUGAAAGGAAAUUCAAAGAUGUUGGUCUUCUAUCAAUGAGUAGAAUUUACCAAAGUCACCAGAAGAUUCUACAUAUUCACUUGCUCUUAAGCUCAAUGUGCUUCCAUACUGAGCAUUUCUGACACUGAUUUUAUUGAGAAGAAUUAUCAGAAAGAGAUCCUUCCCCUUUUGCCCUCUCUGCAUGUGGGAUUUGUCUCUUAGCUUCUCUUCCUUUCCUCUUCUCUCUGAAGUAAUUUCUGUUUACUACCUUUACCACUCCGCCUGUGGUCUCAGGCUCAUUUUGCCUCUCUCAGAAAUGCUUCUCUUAAUUCAACUAGAGUUGCCAGAUUGAGUGAAUGAAAAUAGAGGAUACCCAUUCAAUUUGAAUUUCAAAUAAACAGUGAAUGAAUUUUUAGUAUAAAUGUAUCACAAAUGUUGCUCCUCCUUAUUCAUUGUUUAUCUGAAAUUCAAAUUUAAAUGAGCAUCCUGUAUUUUAUCUGGCAAGCUUACUUCCAGCCCUUGUCCCUGGGAUCUUGUCUGUGUAUUUUCUUUGUUGAAGUUCGCAUUUCCAUCAGUGGAUCGAACUGCACAGAUGACCCUCUUUUGUGUCUGCAUUUUCCUGUGCCUGCAGCUAUUCCCAUCUGGGUUGUGUUCUGUUCUCCCCUUGUUGGUGUCUCAGCUCCGCCACAGGUCCACACCUCCCACUCCUGCUCUCUGCUGUUGGCAGCAUGGCCGUGUUUAUGUAGGACACUUGGAGGUUUCUUGGAGUCCUCCUUUACGCCUCCUCUGCUUCUAGUCAGUAACAUGACCUGUGCCUUCUUCCUUCACUGUCCAUUUUUCCUUCUUCUUCUUUUUCCCUCUCCCUCCUGUCUGUUCCCCUCACUGUCCCCAUUCUGUUCCUAGCACUGCAUGUUCCCUGCCUACCAGCUCAUCCUGCUGGCCUGUCCUGGGCUCCCCCCUGCCCAGGUCAUUUUGCACUGCCCCCUUAAUCAUUUUAAGUUAUUGCACCACUUUUAUUCCUUCCCUGUGAAAAAUCUUCAAAGACUUCCUGUUGUCUGCAAAAUGAAGGACAAGUGCCUUAUUCAAGGUUUUCCAGAAUUGGCCUUUGCUUACACCUCCAGUGUCACAGACAUCAUUAUUCACAUCAGGGUUUAUCACAUUUUAGAUGCACUCACUCAUCCAUUGUAAACUAAUAUUAAAAACUCUGUUAGACAUGGCUUAAACUAUGCCAUCAUUUGGCAUACACAUUAAAAAGAAGUAUUAGCUUAGUUCUUAUUACUGAGUUACAUUAUAAAGUUUAUUCUAAUAAAAAUUUGAUAAUAUUCUAAUUAUAUAAAUAUAAAGAACAGUUUUGAAUUUCUC
rnacentral:lncRNA from 1 species